rnacentral:rRNA from 1 species
AUUGAACGCUGGCGGCAGGCCUAACACAUGCAAGUCGAGCGGAUGAAGGGAGCUUGCUCCUGGAUCCAGCGGCGGACGGGUGAGUAAUGCCUAGGAAUCUGCCUGGUAGUGGGGGAUAACGUCCGGAAACGGGCGCUAAUACCGCAUACGUCCUGAGGGAGAAAGUGGGGGAUCUUCGGACCUCACGCUAUCAGAUGAGCCUAGGUCGGAUUAGCUAGUUGGUGGGGUAAAGGCCUACCAAGGCGACGAUCCGUAACUGGUCUGAGAGGAUGAUCAGUCACACUGGAACUGAGACACGGUCCAGACUCCUACGGGAGGCAGCAGUGGGGAAUAUUGGACAAUGGGCGAAAGCCUGAUCCAGCCAUGCCGCGUGUGUGAAGAAGGUCUUCGGAUUGUAAAGCACUUUAAGUUGGGAGGAAGGGCAGUAAGUUAAUACCUUGCUGUUUUGACGUUACCAACAGAAUAAGCACCGGCUAACUUCGUG